CCGCCGCCAUUGGUUCGCGAGUUGGCGCCUUUGUCCAAUGGCGGCGCGUCGCGGGUGGUUCUUGGGACGAAGGAGGUUGCCGCUUGGUCUUGGUCCUGAUUGGAACGCUUGGCGCUCCCAGACGGUGUGGGACCUCGAGUGCGAAUAUUGCGGAUCGGCUGCCCUCUGAAAUCGAUAGACACUGCAAUUGCUCUGCUCCUUCUGAAGGUUGUCAUGGUAACAGAUUCUGCUUUGAACUGAAACCAGCAACCAUAAUGGAGAAUUCACAGAGCUACUUCUGCAGUUUUUCUUCAUUCAAGAGAAGCGUCGAUGCAGAGCCAACAUUCCUCCUAUCUGACGUUGGAUAAACACGCCUGCAAUCAAAUCGAGGAAUGGGGAGGGUGGGGAGUACCCUCUGUAUAUUUUUUAUUUUUUUUUUCAAUCAUGUAUCUUCCAUUCUGAUAGAUAUUGGUGUGUGACUUUAGUUAAAAUCAUGACGCGUUUGGGGUGUUUUCUCCCUUGUCAGUUAAUGUAAUUGAUAACCUGUAGGUAUAUUUGGGACUCUGAGCCUUGAUGAUGCAUAAAUCUCAUUGGGCAAACACUCAACGACACCAGGUGACUCGAGGCCGGAAUCUUGAGUUACAACAAUGACUGAACCAGUUGUCCGUGUUUACAAACUCCACAGGUGGUCCCUUGGGGCCUGCAGACCAUUGCAGCAGCAUGUCUUCCACUUUCUCACUGUACACAACAGAAUGGCUGGGUCUUUCUCUCUCCAGUUUCACUCUUGACAGGAUUUUUACUGAGGCUGAGAGUCCCUACCUUCCAGUAAUUAACAAAAUGCUUGGUAGUUAAUUCCUUCUUUUUUUGUCGUUGUUAGUAUUUCUGCUUUUUAUUUUUUUCUUUUGCCUGUAUAAAUCCAUAUGGUACACAUGUAUGUUGUGAUGUAUAGAAGUAGCUGUAGAAAUGCAUUGUUUCCUUGUGGUAAGUGACUGAGAUGCUGCCACGGAUUUGAGACACUGAUAAAUGGUGCUAUUUUGGAAUUUUACCUGCUCCUUGGUAAGGUAGCUCAGAUGGGUUUUAUUUUAUAUUUUCAUGUUCUAAGAAGGUAUCGGUUCUUUGUCCGGUUGUUGUAACUAGGUCGGGAUUGACUUGUUUUUUUCUGCUGUUUUUUGUGUGGCUUUCUUAUUGGGUGUAAGAUUAAAAACAAGGAACCAAAAAACAACAAAGUUGAGAAAAGACAACCAUGCAAGGUUAUUUGUGAAAUAUGAAUAGGAGCAAUCACAAAACUGCAAUCUUAAUACUUUCCCUUUAAUACCAAUAUGUGGAUUCAAUGUGUAGUCCUAAGCAUUAUGGACUUGGUUAAAAAAAAUGGGCAGUGUCUGACCUUAGCAUUCAUCAUGGAUCAGAUGUGUAGUGAGACAUCAAAUGUACAUUUUAGGUUCUGUUGAAUUUCAUUUCAAGAAAUUAAUUGGACAGAAGGACGCUGAUUUGGCAGAAUGCAGUCACCAGAGAGAUUUGGCAAAACCCAAGUAGAAUGUGAAAUUGGAGUCGCGUUUAAUUUUUGUUCAUGCGAUGUAGUAGUGUACUAAAAUUCUGAACUAAGGCCGUUUAUCCAAAGUUAGACGGGGGCGAACAGAAUGCCGUUUGUUCCCCGGCCCGGCUGGGUUUUAGGUUUCUCAAAAUAGUAGCACCACCUCUCACGCCAGCGCUACAGCUUGAUGCCGCAGAGCUACGUGUCGUACUAUGUCUGACUGUAAUAACGACGCAUCUGAAUCUCUGUCCGAAGGCAAUGUCAGAACAGAGAGGUGUGAAGGUGCAGAGAGAAGAAAAAACAGUGCAGUGCUUUCAUCACCAUCUUUUUAAUUAUCUGCAAUUCCAUGAAUAAACUACUUGAAUAAUUUUGUAAUUAAUCUUGGGUGUGUCCUUAAGGGGGGAAAAACAAACCAAAAAGCUUAAUUUUGCUUUGCUAGUGAUUGAAUAUUGAAUACGAUACCGUGCAGAUUUUGCAGUUUUGUCCUUGCUUCUUGUUAAUUCAUACCAUAUACGAUUCUAAUAUGAUAAACCUGAAAGCCCACCUUUCCUUUCUGUCACCUUGUGUUUCUCGUGGGGACCCUCCCAGCCUGUCCUGAUAUCUCCUUAAUUCUGUUUUCUUAACUGCAUGUUUUUUUGUUUAAUUUUCAUUUGUAAUUGUUCCUUGCAAUUGUCAUUUCCUCUGUUAGAAUAGGAAUGCCGUUUUGUACAUAGCCAGUGAUUAUCCAGCAAAUUUUGCAAUAGUUGAGGUAUAUUGUAUCAACGACUGUGUAUGAUUGAUUAAUGCCAGCUUUUGUUACUACAAGACCUUUAAUAAUGCACUAUAAGUAUAUCACGUAUUCUCGUUUGGCUAUAUUAGUAAUAGAUCAAUAAAUAUACAAGCUCUUACAACA